AUUGAACGCUGGCGGCAUGCCUUACACAUGCAAGUCGAACGGCAGCACGGGUGCUUGCACCUGGUGGCGAGUGGCGAACGGGUGAGUAAUACAUCGGAAUGUACCUUAUCGUGGGGAUAACGCAGCGAAAGCUGUGCUAAUACCGCAUACGCCCUGAGGGGGAAAGCGGGGGAUCGCAAGACCUCGCGCGAUUAGAGCGGCCGAUGCCUGAUUAGCUUGUUGGUGGGGUAAAAGCCUACCAAGGCGACGAUCAGUAGCUGGUCUGAGAGGACGAUCAGCCACACUGGGACUGAGACACGGCCCAGACUCCUACGGGAGGCAGCAGUGGGGAAUUUUGGACAAUGGGGCAACCCUGAUCCAGCAAUGCCGCGUGAGUGAAGAAGGCCUUCGGGUUGUAAAGCUAUUUUGUCAGGGAAGAAACACCGGCUCUAACACAGUCCGGGAAUGACGGUACCUGAAGAAUAAGCACCGGCUAACUACGUGCCAGCCGCCGCAGUAA
rnacentral:rRNA from 1 species